UUCCAAAGUGUUGAGUUCAGUUCAGGGACG
rnacentral:piRNA from 1 species